GACGUAGGGGGCAAGCGUUAUUCGGAAUUAUUGGGCGUAAAGGGCGCGUAGGCGGCUUGGCAAGUGGAUGGUGAAAUCCCUCGGCUUAACCGAGGAACUGCCGUCCAAACUGCUUCGCUUGAGACCGGGAGAGGUGAGUGGAAUUCCCAGUGUAGCGGUGAAAUGCGUAGAUAUUGGGAGGAACACCAGUGGCGAAGGCGGCUCACUGGACCGGUACUGACGCUGAUGCGCGAAAGCGUGGGGAGCAAACGGG
rnacentral:rRNA from 1 species